rnacentral:rRNA from 1 species
CGAAGGGGGCUAGCGUUGCUCGGAAUUACUGGGCGUAAAGGGCGCGUAGGCGGACAGUUUAGUCAGAGGUGAAAGCCCAGGGCUCAACCCUGGAAUUGCCUUUGAUACUGGCUGUCUUGAGUACGGGAGAGGUGUGUGGAACUCCGAGUGUAGAGGUGAAAUUCGUAGAUAUUCGGAAGAACACCAGUGGCGAAGGCGACACACUGGCCCGUUACUGACGCUGAGGCGCGAAAGCGUGGGGAGCAAACAGGAUUAGAUACCCUGGUAGUCCACGCUGUAAACGAUGAGUGCUAGUUGUCGGCAUGCAUGCAUGUCGGUGACGCAGCUAACGCAUUAAGCACUCCGCCUGGGGAUACGGUCGCAAGAUUA